rnacentral:rRNA from 1 species
UGCAGUCGACGGAGUCGUUACAAUGAAUAGGAGAUUUAUCUGAUUGAAGUUUGUAACAAUGGCUUUAGUGGCGGACUGGUGAGUAACGCGUAAGGAAUCUACCUAUUAGAGGGGAAUAACAAUGAGAAAUCAUUGCUAAUACCGCAUAUGCCAUAGUGAAGGCAUCUUCAUAGUGGGAAAGGAGCAAUCCGCUAAUAGAUGAUCUUGCGUCUGAUUAGUUAGUUGGUGGGGUAACGGCCUACCAAGACGACGAUCAGUAGCCGGACUGAGAGGUUGAACGGCCACAUUGGGACUGAGAUACGGCCCAGACUCCUACGGGAGGCAGCAGUCGGGAAUAUUGCGCAAUGGAGGGAACUCUGACGCAGUGACGCCGCGUAUAGGAAGAAGGUUUUCGGAUUGUAAACUAUUGUCGUUAGGGAAGAGAAAGGACAGUACCUAAGGAGGAAGCUCCGGCUAACUACGUGCCAGCAGCCGCGGUAAUACGUAGGGAGCGAGCGUUAUCCGGAUUUAUUGGGUGUAAAGGGUGCGUAGACGGGAGAGCAAGUUAGUUGUGAAAUCCCUCGGCUUAACUGAGGAACUGCAGCUAAAACUACUCAUCCUGAGUGCAGGAGAGGUAAGUGGAAUUCCUAGUGUAGCGGUGAAAUGCGUAGAUAUUAGGAGGAACACCGGUGGCGAAGGCGACUUUCUGGACAAUAACUGACGUUGAGGCACGAAAGUGUGGGGAGCAAACAGGAUUAGAUACCCUGGUAGUCCACACCGUAAACGAUGGAUACUAGGUGUAGGGAAUGAUUUUAUUCUCUGUGCCGUCGCAAACGCAAUAAGUAUCC